GCAGCGACAGGCUGGAACAGGGAGGAGGGCGGGGAAGGGCUUGAAGCGAGAGCACUGGCUGCGAGGACACAGUUCAGAAUCGCAUUUGAUAAAACCUGGGACAGACUGGAAUGGAAGAGACCAUUUAUGCUCUUAUUAUAGAGAUGAGAAAAAGGAGGCUGGUCCUGGCAGGAAGCAGAUGGCACCUCAGAUUGGGUAAAUUGAGAAGAGUUUAAUAAAGAGACUAUUUACAAAGGCAUAUCGGGGUGUAGGGAAACCACAGGCCAGAAGGAGCAGAAGGAGGAAGCAAUUACUGGAAAUUUGAGAGAGAAAAUUCUACGAGCAGGGCCUCUUGACAGGAGCUGUGACUUUCGGUGUGGAGAUGCAGCCAGCUAGCCCUGAAGGAGGCCCUUGGAGAAAAGAAAUACCCUGAGCUCCCUCCCCACAGCCUUCCCUCGCCUGCUGGAAACCGACACCAAGAAGAGGUAGAAGAUUUUGGCGGAGCUCACUGAGGCCGGCUGCUGGGGGCACAGCCCGGCUAGGGAAGGGUGGAGGGAGUCUGGAGGGGCAAAAAGGAGCCACAGGGCACACCGUCUGAGUUUGGAAGUAAUCUGUGGUGGUCCUUGCCCAGGGUUGCCACUAUCGACACUCCUAUGGGUGGGGGUGAAAGGGGGGCAUGUUAUCUCCUGGCUGGUGAAGCCGAAAUAUGAUCGAGUAGUUCCUCUAGAAAUGCCUCGCCAAUCAAAAGUAUUCCAGAUCUUUCUUGCCUUGAACAAAAAAUUCGACGAGACAAGCCAAAGACGGUGCCAAAAGUUUAUUUGAAAAGUGAGGAGUGAAGAGGUAUGGGAGAAACCAGCUCCGUAGUGCAAACUUCGGCUGAACAAAAAGAAAGAGAGGGCAAAAGCAAAAAUAAAAGUGCACUCUGCGGCUAGGAGAAGCGGGGUGGGCUGCAGGGAGGUGAGCAGGCUCCUCAAGGCGGCCGGUCCCUUUCCUGCCAUCCACACCUGGUGGGAGCCCACGAGAAGUUCCACAUACGGGGCCCCGGGAGUUACUUGAUGCUGUCCUGGGAUCUUGUAAUUGACAGGUCUGGCUUAUUUUUUCAGCCAGCUUUGCCAUGCAUUUCUAGCAGGAUGUGGGAUAGCCCUCCUUUUCCUCUUCUGUCCGUAUUUGAGCUCUCGAGUUUUCUCUCUGUUCCCCCCAUAGGGUCCAUAAAGCGCAGUGCUGUCCGUGAAAGAGGAGGGUUGCUCUGGGCCCCAGCCUUCAAGCAGAGGCCUAGAUUCCUACACGCACCCUGCCAGCCCUGUUUGUCUCCCCCUGCCAUGUCCUGAACGGCAAGUGGGUCACCAAACAUCCCUGCCAGGGCCGCUCCACAGAGCCACACACCCUGACCUUGUUCCUUCAGGUCCCCCAUGGCUGCCCAGGGUCAGAAUGGAAGGACUUCACCUCAGCUAUGGGCCAACCUGGGGUCCCAUUUGUGCCCACUCCGCCCCAAGCUCCAGCUGGCCUCAGCUCCCUCUCCUGCUGGCGAGCUCGGUUCCUCUUUAUUCCUGGCCUGCCCUGUGGGAUUUACUGCAGCAGAAUGCUUCUCCUUCUCACAUAAAAUUUAACCCCCUUACUAUGUAACAAACCAGGAUGGUAAUUUAUGAUCAGAAAUCUAAGAGCACUGGCUUCUUGGAGUUGCUUCACUGGAACUUUCUCUCCAUGUAAGACACAGGGAGUUUAGAAGAGGAUGGAGGAAAGCUGGGGUGAAUGAGAGCCUUUCUUUUUACUCUACACUCAUUUUUACUGAUAUGCUUAGUUUUUACGCCAAUUUAUGAAUGUAAAAUUAUUUAAUACUACUAAAAAAAGAAUCGGAGCUAAUUGUAACCAGUGACUUUGAGUGGCAUGGAUGACAGCAGCACAGUGCAAAUUGCAAAUACAUAUUCCCGAAAAUGACAAUGACAGAUAGGGCAAAGCCACUGGGGAUAGAUUCUAUACUUCUGCCAAGGCAGCCCCGCCUUGAAUGGAAGUGGGACCACAUACACUUCCCCGGUUAUAUUAGGAGCUGGGUGGAAAGCGCGGUAACUUUUGCGGUGGCUGGAUUCCCUACCUGGCCUCUGUGUCAUCACCAUACCUGCUGGGAGAUCCCUCUGUCACACUGGAGCUUCCCUGGGCUCCAUUUCAUAAUCACUCUAAUGGACUGACAUCAGCAAACUGUGAUUUAUUCUUUCGGUUCGUUUAAAUAUUUGUUAAGAAUGAGGCCACAUCUAUGUCAGACUCUGAAGUCUGUAUCUGCCACUCUUCUACCUUCCUUUACUCCUCACCUACUGGCAGGGCCGGGGAGGAGGGAGAAGCCUGAGCAAGUGCAGGCCUAUGCCGAUGGCUUCAGAAGAAACACUUCUUUCUCUCCUCUCCAGUCAUAUGCUGAAGCUCUGGCUACUGGCCCCCAAGGUGAGCAUAAAUAAGAGGCUCUCAAUAAGAGCUGGGAGAAGCUUGAACCCAACUGGCUUCAUGAGCUGAGGGAGAUAUUAAGGUACAAAAGGGAUUUAACUGUUAACUAGGGAUCCCUAUAGAUUUGUGUGAAGAACAACUCCAUGAUAAUUGCCAGUAAAGCUUUUCAAAACAAGACCAGUAACACUCCACUAGUAUCUUGCCCUAAUGGAUAUUAAAAUUCAUGAUAACGCUAGUGUAGUCAAAAGGAUAGAGUAUUGGCACAUGAACAGACAGACCAGUGGAAUAGAAUAGAAAGAAAUUGAUUUUAUGGGAAUUUAAUAUAGUAUGUAAUAAAGGUGGCAUUUCAAUUCACUGAUGGCUUAUUUGAUAAAUCACCAAACAAUAAUGGCCUAUUACAUGAAAAAUACAAAGAUAGAUUAUUUGGUUAAUUACAGAUGGAUUAAAGAUGCAAAGGCAAAGUAAACAUUCUGGAAUUUAGGAAAAUAUUUACAUGAUAUUCAGGGAGGAAAGCCUUCUCAAAUCACACAAGCUAGAAGGUACAAAGACAUGAUAAAAAGUCAAAGGAGAAUGAAUAGGUUGUGAGAAAAUAGUUGCAACCAAGGGAGAUAAAGGAUUAGUAUCCAUAAUACUAGAAUGAAUAUGAGUAUCUAUAGUAUCAGGUUGCCGAUAAUCAACCGCUUUGAACCGCCAAACGGCAAAGUUGACAUUUCAACCCAAUACACAGUGCUUCAAAAUGUUGGUUUUAAAAGAGACGAAUAGGGCUGGGGAUAUAGUUCAGUGGCACAAACGCCUGCUUGGCAAGUGCAAGGUCCUGAGUUCGAUUCCCGGUACCAAAAAAAUAAAUAAAUAAAUAGAUAGAUAAGACAAACAAUCUAAUAGAAAAAAGUGAAGUCUAUAAAUUAUAAACAGACAAUUUAUAGAAAAGAUGUCAGUAGCUAAUCUAUAAAUAUAUGAUUACAAAUAUCUGAAUAUAUGUUAAAAUAAUAGCAGGAGGCUUCUAUCAAUAAAACAGAAAAUAACGAGGGCUAGAAAGAUGUACAGAAACUGUGCAAUGUUAGUGGGAAUGUAAAAUGGUGCCCCUGCCACAGAAAAUAGUAUAGAGGGUCUUCAAAAAAUUAAAAGUAGAAUGAGGUAUGGUCUAGCAGUUCCACUUCUGGAUAUGUACACAAAAUAAUUCAAAUCAGGGUCUCCAGAGAUAUUCAUACACCCCUGUUCAUGGCAGCCUUAUCCACGACAGCCAAAAGGUGGGAACCACUCAAGUGUCCAUUGACAGAACAAAAUGUGAUAGUUUCACACAAUGGAAUAUUAUUCAGCCUCACAAGGAAGUCAGUUUGGACAUAUUCUAAAACAUAGACUAGGGCCGGGGAUAUAGCUCAGUGGCACAAGCGCCUGCCUGGCAAGCACAAGGUCCUGAGUUUGAUUCCUGGUACCAAAUAAAUAAAUAAAUAAAUAAAACAUAGACUAAUAUUGAUGACGUUGUGCUAAGCGAAACCAGCCAAACACAAGAGGAAAUACUGUAUGAGUCCACUUCUCUGAGAUACCUAGAGUAGUCAGAUCCAUGGAGACAGGAAGCAGAAUGGCAGUUGCCAGGGGCACGGGGAGGGUGGGAUGGACAAUUAAUGUGUAAUGGGUGCAGAGUUUCAGUUUUGCAAGGUGAAAAGAAUUCUGGAAACUGGCUACCCAGCAACAUGAAUAUUGUUGACGCUGCUGAAUUGUAUGCUUAAUGGUUAAGAUGGCAAAGUAUGUUUUGUAUAUUUGACAAGAUAACAUUUUUCACUCAUCAGGCAAAAUGUAAAACUAAUUUUGACACCGAUGUGGGGAAAUGUAUACUUGCUUUCAUGAAUGGUUGGAGAGAGAAUUGUGAUAGUGUUUUAAGCAAAUAACUUGGUGAAAUCUAUUAAAAUAAAAAAUGCAUAUACUUUUUGAAACAGUAGUCCUAUAUUUGGAACUCUAGUCUACAGAAACACAUAUACCGAUAUACAAGUAUAUGUAUAUAGUGCAUUUUUAUAUUGGUCAUAGUUAGAAAUAAUUGAUCCUAAAAGUGCAGAUGGUGGAAUAUUGAACAACUAUUUUAAAGAACAAGUAAUAUUUACAAGGAUUGACCUGAAGAAAUGAGUAUGAGAUAUUAUUUUAUUAACUACAUGACAUAUUAUUGUAAGAAAGUAAGCAAGUUUCACGGGAAAUCAUGUGGUAUGUGUAAAAAGCAAAUAAA